CAUUGUGACAGCAAAGGAACCACAAGCACAUUCAUGGAAUCAUGGAAUCACAGAAUGGUCUGGGCUGGAAAGGACCCUAAAAAACAUCUGGUUCCAAACAUCUGCAGUGGGCAGGGACACUUUCCACUGGCCAGCUUCCACCAGCAACAUUCCUUCUGUUUUGCUUUCCCUACCAAGGCACCUCUACCAUACAACAAGCCAGCUCUGGGCAGAGGAUCUUCCUAAACUACUUCUAAUUCUACUGUAAUUGAGUGGAAAAUGAAGCAAGCUGUUCUGAGCUGUUCUGAUAUUUAAAUGCAUCUCCAGCUGAAAUGCCUAAGGAAAGUCAGGCCAUGGUGCUGGUUUGUACCUGAGCUUCUGAGUGAGUUUUGCCCAGAAAACAGAGCUUCUGCCAGCCCCAUCCCACCACAGGGGUGACAAUCAUCUCAACACCUCCCUCACAUGGAGCACAGGAGCUCUGUGACUCUGCCAAACUUGGAGACAACCAUGAACUCCAUGGUGAUUUAUACCCAGAGAACACUGCCAAGGACAACUUGCAGGGACCAAUUUCAUUCUGUUCAGUGACAAGAUAACCAACCUUACCCAAACCAGGAGAAAGGCUCACAUGUGAUAUAUCUUGAGUACAGCCCUGGCCAGAGUCCCACACAAAAUCUUCAGGAGAAACUGAGGGGAAAAUGGUCUAAAUGAAGUCACAGACAAAUUAAGCACUGACCCAGCAGUCCCUUGAGCUCACCUGGAAGCAAUGCACUGCUGGAAUAUGAAAUUAACCUUACCUUUUCAGAGCUGGCAUUUAACGUCCAGGUUACAGUAAGGUUAAUAAAAGCAGUGUUAAAAAUUUCCUGUCUUGUGGCAUUUUAAUCCAAGCUAUUUAAAUCCCCUGACCUAUAUGCCUCCUUGUGUAAAGCAGGUUUUGUUCAU